rnacentral:rRNA from 1 species
GACGGGGCCGCACAAGCGGAGAACAUGUGUUAAUCGAUGAUAUGCGAGGAACCUUACCUGGGCUUAAAUGUAGAGUGCAUUUUUAGAGAUAGAAUUCCCUUCGGGGCUUUCUGCAAGGUGCUGCAUGGUUGUCGUCAGCUCGUGCCGUGAGGUGUCGGGUUAAGUCCCAUAACGAGCGCAACCCUUAUCGUUAGUUGCCAUCUGGUAAUGCAGGGGACUCUAGCGAAACUGCCACCGUAAGGUGAGAGGAAGUGGGGAUGACGUCAAAUCAGCACGGCCCUUAUGUCCAGGGCUACACACGUGUUACAAUGGUCGGUACAGAGGGCAGCUACCUGGUGACAGGAUGCUAAUCUCGAAAACCGGUCUCAGUUGGAUCGAAGUCUGCAACUCGACUUCGUGAAGCUGGAUUCGCUAGUAAUCGCGCAUCAGCUAUGGCGCGGUGAAUACGUUCCCGGGCCUU